AUACUGAUCCCCACCUUCUGGGUGCUGGGAGGCCUCAGGAUGGCUGCUCUCCCCUCCGCCCCCUUCCCCAAUCCUAGAACCUCCAGCAGUGCAGCAUCUAGAGAUCAGAGGAGGAAGCUCAAGAUCUGGGCAGGAUGGGACCCCGCGGGCCUGGGAGAUGAUUGUCCGGAGCAGCCUGAGGAUCACCCGGCUGGCCCGUCGGGGAGGGAAAGAGGCCCUAGACAGGCUGCUCCUUCAGCCCAGCUGCCAGCAUGAAGAAGACAUGCAGAGCAGAGACAUGACCACUGGCCUGCGAAUAAGAGAACUUCUGGGGCAUCUGCUGAAUAUGAUUUGGAAACCGCUGAUCCAGUCCAACAGGAUGCACGGAAACAGCCUGUGUGCAGCCAGGAGCCGAUGACAAGUCCAGCCUCACAGAGAGCCUGGGCCUGUCCCAGCAGAGGACUCCCCACCACCCCAUCUUCCACUCUGGAAACGGUGGGCCCCCCAUCUGCAAAGCAGUUCCAUCUCCUCCAUCCCUGCACCCCAAAACAAACAAACAAACAAAAUGUGGGAGUUAAAGCGGGGUUGAAGAUCCCAUCUGGGCAUUA
rnacentral:lncRNA from 1 species